UACGUAGGGUGCAAGCGUUGUCCGGAAUUAUUGGGCGUAAAGAGCUCGUAGGCGGUUAGUCGCGUCUGCUGUGAAAACUCGGGGCUUAACCCUGGGCCUGCAGUGGGUACGGGCAGGCUAGAGUUCGGUAGGGGAGACUGGAAUUCCUGGUGUAGCGGUGAAAUGCGCAGAUAUCAGGAGGAACACCGGUGGCGAAGGCGGGUCUCUGGGCCGAUACUGACGCUGAGGAGCGAAAGCGUGGGGAGCGAACAGG
rnacentral:rRNA from 1 species